UACGCAACUUUCCUUCAAGCGGGGAAUAGCCCGGGGAAACCCGGAUUAAUACCCUAUAUUACAUUUGAAUGGCAUCAUUUAAAUAUUAAAGCUUCGGCACUUGAUGAUGGGCGUGCGGCUGAUUAGGUAGUUGGCGGAGUAAUAGCCCACCAAGCCUACGAUCAGUAGCUGAUGUGAGAGCAUGAUCAGCCACACGGGCACUGAGACACGGGCCCG
rnacentral:rRNA from 1 species